GUAGAAUUAGUUUUUGCUGGUGACCAGAAAAUGUACAAAUCGACAAACAUCCUAGUUUGUGUAAGACUAAGAGCAAUUAAAUGAGAGAAGAGGUAUUGGAUUGCAGAUUUCUUUCACAAUGCGUCUGACGUUCAACGAUAUCUCAUUGAGUAAGGAGAUUGGAUGCCACGGUGGUGGGUGCUUUUCUUAAUGCUGAGAUGGAUGUCUAUCAGAUGGAUCAAAUUGCUCUGGAUUGUUCAACUCAUGAUUACCAAGUUCAAGGACUAGCAGUCUCACCAAUCAUCAGUUUUGAACCACAAUCUACCGUUUGCAAUAAUGAAAGCAUUGCGAAAGUUCCGUUGGUUAUUGCCGUGAUGCGUGUGUGUACGUCGUGUAGCUAGGACGGUGGUUAACAAAAACACAACCACUAGAACUUGCAUUUUUCAAGCAUUUUCAAUAUUUAAAGACCUGAAGUCCCAUCCACUAUUCCACGCAAUCGACUGGAAGCGAAUCAGGGAGACAGAAGCCCCUUUCAUCCCAGCCCCAGAUGACAGAACGGACACCACUUAUUAUGACGGUUCAUUACUUUAUGCAUAGUUGAGAUACACCAACCGGAAGACUUGUCUUUGACAGUCACCCAAAGGUGUCCAAACAGAAGAAAUGCAACCUUCAAAGGGCAAGUAAACCUUUAGUUUUUGGAACAGUUUGACUGUUUAAUCCUUUAAAAUGUAGGUGUGCACAAUAAGACUGACAUUUUCAAGGGUGGUCAGGUUUUUGUGAUAUCGCUGAAAAUCCAGAAAAAAUAUG